AGAGAGCUGUGAGGGCAGAGAAAACAAUCAGCAGUCUGCAACCCAGCAGAGGGCCCUCACCAGAACUCAACCAUGCAGACACCCUGAUCUUGGACUGCUCAGCCUCCAGAACUGUAUGUUUGUGCAGCCUGCUGAAGGAAGCCAUAAGGAAUCCCUACUUCCAUUUUUAAUUAAGAUACUCAAAUAUCAUCUUGUAGAACUACAACUGUAUUCAAGAGGUACCUUCAACAUCUCUGUUCCUAUUUCAGUGAGCCUCAGGAUUCACUAUGGACUUCUCACCUCCUCCAUUUCAAUGAAUUUCUGUGAUUCGUAGGAUGCCCACAGCAACAGAUAAGAAAGCAGAUGCAGAAACCAAAAUACUUUUGCUCUGGGAUAAGAAGUCACAAUUAUUUCUCAUCAGUGCUGCUUCACUAGCUCCGAUUUUUUCCAGAGCUCUGGAGCCUGCUUGUUUACCUGGACUUAGAGGAGUUAAAAGUACUCGAUAAAUUAUAAAUGCCUGCAGGGAAAGACAAGAUGUUAAUCAAUUUGUAUUCUCUGAAUCUAGCUCAGUGCUUGAAUAAGGUGUCCAGUAAAAGCUGUAAAAAGAAUGCAUGUUGAAAUCUUGCUCCUGCGUGCCUUCGAUGAACUAUCUUGUGAACUUCCUGACUAAAGAGCAAUAUUAUGUAUAAGUACCUGGUUACUUAGCAGGACACUGAUUACUAACACUGUGUUUCUGACUAUGGCAAUAUGACCUGAAUUUAACUUGUAUAAUUGAAAAUUAAUAGCAUGGCUUGAAACAAUGCUUAAGCAUAAACACAAAAUUAACAUUUGUCAAACUAAACGGGAAAAGAAAAAAAAUAUAUUUUUUUAAUUUGUUCUGGUGAACAGAAUUCCUAACUUUUCUUUUUCUGCUUUUUCAAUAUUGCAAGUGAACAGAGAUUUCCUAGAGAGCAGUGGGAAAUAUAUAAAAUUAUAAAGUUUCAUGCUGAAUUUAAAUUUUGACCAGCUCCUAUAAUAUUUAUUAUUGUUGUGUGAAUUGCCUUGUAGCUAUGAAAACUGGUUUCUCAUUUGAAGGCAGCUCGUAGUCAGGAACUGAUUUUAUAAUUGAAGGCAUUAGGAAAUUCAACGUCAUUAGUGUAAUUAUGGAAAGGUGAUUCAUAGCUUUGGGAUAUUUUUCUUUGUUCAAAGAAGACAGUGUCUCUAGGAGACAAACAAAGUAGAUAGCUCAGUUUAAUGAAUAAAUAUUUGUGAAAUACUGAAAACUGAAAACUUUUGGUUAUAAGUGUAAGAAUUGUUCAUUGUGUAAAAAGAUGUACUUUUACAUAUAAUUAUUGAUAUUUUUCUCUAAAACGUAAAAUGUGAAAUGUGAUACAAAUAAUUUUUUGAAACAAUCAAUAGUAAGGAAAAUACAAUGCUUAAAACAGGCAGAGAAACCAAACAGUUACCUAAUAAAUUCUCACAUAAUAUCAUUUUUAAUAUUUGUUUUCCUCUUGAAGAAUAAGUAUCAUUUAUUAAGUAUCAUAAAAUAAAACAUUACUCACUGGCCUGGCCCGGUGACUCAUGCCUGAAAUUCCAGCACUUUGGGAGGCUGAGGAGGGCGGAUUGCUUGAGCCUGGAUUCGAAACCAGCCUGAGAAAGGUGGUGAGACCUCGUCUUUAUUAUUGUUUUUGUUUUUGUUUUAAAUUACUUGGAGCUUCUUUCUAAUGGCUUCCUUACUUUUAAAAAAGCCAAACAUUCCUUCAUUUAUACAAUGUGGUUCUAAAUUCCUUCUGCAAUUUAUUUUUAUUCCCUAAAAACAUGUAGAUAAUAGCUAUUAAUAAUAAGAAAUCUGAUUUUUCUUCUAUUUUGUAUCAGUCAAAAAUAUUAUUUUAAGAACAUAAUGAAAAGUAUUCAAUAUAUGGUUAUCAGAAUUUUUUACACAAUUUUAAAAUGAAGAAAUACCAUUCGUCUAAACUAGUAGAGGGAGAACAGUACUAGGGGAUUAAAUUAACGUCUUACUUUUCAUUAUUAGACACACUUACAUGAGAAAAGGCAAAUAAAGCAAAACAUAAGCAAAGAGACUCUUGCAAAAGUCAAUGUCUAUGACUUAAUUAGGAUAAGGCAAGUGAAGAGAAACAAAUGAAUAUAAAUAGCAGUUGUGUGCUUCCAUAUAAAAUAUAUGGAAACAAAUGACUACUGGUACUUUGCUCUCCAUUAGGAUAACAUGUAAAGACGCAAUCACCUUCAACACUCAAAUAAUAAAACCCAUAUUUUAUCCACACUCAGCUUCUAUCAAUCCCACUUCAUAAAUGCAUUUCAAACUCUUUCCACCCUCUGUAUCUUCACCACCACCACAUUCUUAGCUACCAUAAUUUCUAAUCUUGAGUAGUAAUGCAGUGCCCUGAUAAGAAGCAUUUUAUAGAGAAAAUGGAAAGAAGUUUGAAUAACUACUUAAUUAUCUUGACACAUACAUAAAUAAAUAAAUCUUAGACAAGGAUGAAUAUAAAAAAUAAUGUAUAAAUGUGUCUUAUAAGGCAUUUAGAUACAAAACCUAAAGGUCUUUUUACUUAAACCAGUCAAAAUGAAUAUAGAUAAUACUGCAUUUAGUCAACUAUAAAUGUACAUUUUUCUGCAUUUUUAACACCUCUGAAAUUGAGAUGUGUCAUAAUUAAUGCUAUUAUAAUUUGUAAAGUACGCUAACUCAAGUAGUUGCAUAUCAACUUGCGUUACCUGUUCUACCUGCUAACAUUUCCACCCAGAAGAAAUAUUUUAUUAUCAAAUGGCAGAAACAAUUUUCACAGUAGCCACAUAAAUAGGCUUUGGAUCACAAAAAUCAUAAAUUACUCCCGUGUUGACCUUCCACUAUCAAAAAAGUUUUAAACCCUCCCAGAAAGUUUAGUAGAAAGAGAAAGAGUCAACGGUACGGUGGUAAGAGCAUGCACUCUAAAUCAUGUUGCUUAGAAUAUAUACUAGAUGUGUCAAGUGGCAAGACACUUAACCCUCUGUGCCAACAAACUGCAGAUAACAAUAAUUAUUUCAAUGUAUUUUUGAAGAUUAACAGAUAUUACAUAUCACAAUGCUUAAUGAAUAAUAUGUACUCCAAUAAUUAUAUUAUAUUUUGAUGCUGAUUACUCAUGUUCAAAUGAGGAUUUAAGGCCUCAUUAGAAAUUUAGGCAAUUGGUUAAUCUACUUCUCUAUUCAAUCAACAUAUAGUCAGUGCUAUAUGUGCUGAAGGCACAGUAUUUUCCCUGCUUUAGAGUAGCAAUGUAAUGAGGGAACCAAAGUUAAAAAGCAAAAAGAAGUGAAUUUUAAUGUUGAUAAAAUCAUGCCAUACUAAGAAAUGUGCCUAUAUUAAGGUAAAGUAAUAAACUAUAAAGUUGUUUAACAACAUUUUUAUUCCACUUUUUUUCUUUCCAGUUCCUUAUUGAGUUAAAACUUGUAAAAACUGACAGGUUUGGGUGGCUCAUGCCUGUAAUUCCAGCAUUUUGUGAGGCCAAGGUGGGCAGAUCACCUGAGGUCAGGAGUCUGAAACCAGCCUGCCCAAUAUGGUAAAACCCUGUCUCUACUAAAAAUACAAAAAUUAGCUGGGCAUGGUAGCAUGCGCCUGUAGUCCCAGCUACUAAGGAAGCUGAAGAAGGAGAAUCACUUGAACCAGGGAGGAGGUGGUUGCAGUGAGCCGAGAUUGUGCCACUGCACUCCAGCCUGGGUGACACAGCAAGACUCCGUCGUUAAAAAAAAAAAAAAGCUAUUAACAUAAACUUCAUAGUGUUUUUUAAAGAAGCUACACAUACAAGUUCUUAGUUGCUUCCAAGUUUUUAAGUUUUCAUUUUUAAUUUCUGUAUUAAAAUGCUUUUACCCUGCUAUAAACAAUACCUGAGACUGGAUAAUUUAUAAUGGAAGCAGGUUUAUUUGACUCACGGUUCUGCAUAACUGAGGAGGCCUCAGAAGACUUACAAUCAUGGCAGAAGGUGAAGGGGAAGCAAGACAAGAAAGGCUCUCUCAUUUUUAAACCAUCAGAUUUCGUGAGAACUCAUUAUCAUUAGAACAGCAUGGAAGAAACUGCCACCUUAAACCAAUUGCCUCCCACCAGGCCUCUCCCUCCACAUGUGGGGAUUACAAUUAGAGAUGAGAUUUGGGUGGAGACACAGAGCCAAACCAUAUCAAUUUCCAAGACCUUAUCUUCUCUGUAUUUUGUGUAACAUAUAAGGUGCCCCAAUGUUACUUUUAGUUAAUGUUUACAUCACAUAAAAAGUUACUAGUCUUCUCUGAACAUGAACUUUAUAAGCAUAACAUUUUUAUCAACUUUGAAUGCACAUUUUAAUUUUACUAAGAGUUCCAUAUACCUUCAGUGUUUCUUCUAGAAAUAAGCCUAAAC
rnacentral:lncRNA from 1 species